CAGCCCAGAAGGAAGGAACUCUGCCAUGGAAGAGAAGAGAAGAGAAGCAGCAUCUGACACGGCUGCGAGAUGAAGAAACCCCGCAGGUGGAUGCAUACCUCUGUGACUGACAGUGGUCAUGCACUACUCAAGACGUCUGUGGGACAGCAACCUCCAGAUUGGGCAGCCAAGAUGAUGCUGGGGGAUCACACGUUUGCCAGAAAGGGAUAUGAGACAGUGAAGCCUAAACCUCAGGGUCGCCCUCCCAUUCAGCACCUGACCUACCGAGACCAGAAGGACAAGCAGGUGACCUUCUUCUGGAGAAGACAUCACCCUGGGAGAAGCUGACUAUGGACAACAGACUCCAGCACCCUGGAUAGGGUAAUUCAGGAAUGGGAAAAAAAAAAUUAGAGGAAUGGUGACACCUUUUCACUUAGAGAGGAAUAAAGUCAAACAAAUUGCAUCGUACCUUUGGACCUAACUGACAGUCCAGUCCCUCUCUUCUGCUCAGGUUUGCUUCUGUCUCUACAACCCAGGCAGAUUCUUUAUGGUGCUAUAACUGUUGAGAUCUUUAACACGUUGGCCCUAAUCCUGUUAACUGUUACAAUAUUAACAUUUUACACUGUAUAAGAAGGCCAUUUUCCUGCAAGGCUAUGGAUACAGUCUUUCAGCUUCUGGUACAAUCAUUGUAUCCAUCCAAAGCCAAAUACGAUGAAAGAGAAUAAUGGGGAGGGGGAAGUUUUAAAACUUUAGAGUGCCUGUGGGGGAGUCUGUGGGUGGUUCGGAGUUUAGAAAAACAUACAAGUCUUUCUGGAUAGUGUGGGAUAUUUAAUCUCAACAAUAAGCAUUUCUCUUGUGCAAUUUUAACUUCAAAAGUCAUGUUACCUUUUAGUGUUUGAUUUUCUUUUGUUGAGGGUUUAACAUUUGCCAGAGAAGUAUAUAGCUUUGUUUGGUAAACUCCCAAGUCUAUUGUAAUCUGGGUUCUAUUCUUAGUUUUUUCACAAGCAUGCUACACAAAACUAGGUAGGCUAAGCAAUUUAAUGAUAUGUGUCUGCAUUGCUCCCCGUCCCCCUUCCGUAUGGGCUUUUUUCAAUGUGGCAAUUUUUCACACUGGUAUUGAGAAUCAGACUGGUAGUUUUGAUGCAUACAGUGUCUGUGUUUGAUGAAACUCAGGUUAUUGUUUAAGUUUUAAUGAGAACUUUCUGACGCCUACAGAAAAUUAACUUUUUUCAGUUGGGGUUUGGAAAAUGAAAAAAAUAUAUUCCAACUGAAAAAUAUAACUCAAAGCAUGGAAAUCAUUCCCUUGGAAAUACUACUGCUGUAUGUCUUAGGACCUGAAGUUACUUCAGGCCCCCGUCUUGCACUUUUGGUCUAAGGUUCCUGGCACAUCAUGGUGAGCCACAUUUUUAGUAUUCAGGACCAUUAUAUUUUGUUCUUUGACAUUAUUUCUGGAUGAAGGUUUGCUUAAAAAGUGGAAGUAUUCUGAUCAAGGUCUUCCCUCCUCUACCCCUUGUACCCUCCUAUAUAACACAUGAGCAUGAGCUUACACAUGCAUGCACACACACUCUUUGACCAGCUCAGGUAACCAAGUUUAAUAAAAAUGUUCAUGAAAUUGUUUUGAGAACCUCACAUUGAGGACCAGAUUCUCCAUAGAUUAUUUUAUUUAUUUAUUUGCCUUACAGUAAACUGGGAUGCAAUGUUCCCCUCCCUUAUAACUCAUACUCUAGAACUAAGAUCUGUAUCUAGGUAGGUCUCCAGACUAAUUUCAGGCAGCCAAUCAGUAGUAUAUAAUAUACAUCAUACCACUUAAUGGAUGGCUACUAAUAUACUGAAUGCAUUUAUAUCCCAGUAAUUGAACUAGGAUAUAAUUCCAUCAUGAUAGAUGUACAAGGAAUACAGUUCUCAGUUUUACUUGCUUUCUUAUUUUGUGCUUUUGCAGACUUUAAGAACAUGUUGCUUCUGUUCUAAUGUUGGCUCUCCACUUAGUAUUAGCUGAUACUGUACUCUGACAAAAGUCAGUCUCAUUAAGUAGUAGUGCACGGUACAGCCACAGUAGCCUUCAGUGAGACUCAUCGGAGGCACAGCCUGCAGAUCGAAAAGCAAUUAGCAUUCUGGCUUGUGAUAAUUACCCACAGUAUGGGAGGCUUAUCCAAGAUGUUCUUUCCACUGUGCCUAAUAAUAGGAUUCUUUAAACAUUUAUAUAUUUUCAUGGACAAACCAGCACUCUCAUUUCAACUCUUGUCACUUAUCUCAGAUAGGGGAAACAAACAUCUCUCACAUAUUUUUCCCCAUAAAGUAAAGUACACUGCUGUUCUGACAACUUGUGGUGUCACCUAAAAGUCACCUUGAAUCAUGUUUUAAUCAGCUGGAACAAGGCAACAUCUCAUUUAUUUCUGCAGUUUCCUUGCUCUGCGAUGCACUGAUUGCCGAGACAUAGAAAUCCAAAUUGAGCUCUGAUUAAAAUGGAAUGAGGAUGCAGAUGCUGCUGUUGGUUGACAGGGGCACUUUGCUCUGUAUGAGGAAAGGUCAAGGUGACUCAAGAUCUAAUUAUAAAUGAAACACUUUUAAUAGUUCUAGGUUAUGCUGUUCAUAACAGUUUCAGCUGACAGUUCAAAUUAUAUUAGAGUUGCUUUCUAUUCAUUUUAUUGGUGGUAGAAAUGCUUGCAAGAAUGCAAAAUUGAUGUUCUUAAUUGACCAUCUCAGGAAUGGAUUCUGACUCUGUAAGUGGUUUUACUGCUGACUACAGUCAGAGCUUUGAGAUCAUGCUUGAUCCUCUAAGUAUAGACAGGUAAUGAUCACAGAUAUUUGGGUUUCUAGGAAGGUAGACUUUACUAAAGCUUAUUAUUGUCCAAGGGAUAGGUAGUUGGUUCAUAUGUUCUCUUGCAAUAGACUCCUCAGGCAAUAGACUCCCCAGGUAUCUCUGCACUAUUUAACUGCUACAUUCAUCCCCCUUCUCUCUCCCCCCCC